AGGGAUAUAAAAAUGUUCUUACAUGAUGCCCAAUAUUAGCUGUCACUUAUAGUAAAGAAACUGCAAAAUUACACUGCAAUUAUAUAUUAUCAUAUGACUACAAUAUGUGGUGAAAUGCACAUUUUUUUGUACAUGUGUAUGGAUGUAAACUGGCAGGUCAACCCUCUAGUAGUUUUAGUAAAACUAUGCAGAUAGUGUGCUAUUGUGUUUCCUUUUAGAAGCACAUUGUUGUUAUAGGUGUGCCGAUGGGGAAAGGGGGGCCAUAAACAGCAGUUAAAAAGGUUUUCAAAGACAAACGUGGCGCAUAAUGGGACAACAGGGACCUCCCCCUUCUUAUAUAUAUCUUUAAAAUGGUCUUGUGUGAUUACAAAGAAAAAGUAAAUACUGCUACAUGGCAACACCACUCUGCAUGGGACCUUUGACUAUAACCAUUGCGGGAUAUUGGAGCAUUUCUCAUUCCCUCCCUCCACCAGUCCAGGAGCGGCAACUGUCUGGCUGCCAGCCCACUUUCCAAGCUGGAGCGUCUUGUAAGCUCAUCUCUCAGAGGACCACUUGAGGGUCAGAGGAGGAUUUUCAGGGCACCGAGCCAUGGCCUGUUCGUUGUUGCUAAUGAUGGUUUAGGAAUUGAAGCUUAUUCUUCUGCUGUGCUCAAGUGGUCAAGUGGGAGCUAGGUGCCAAUAAUUCUGUAACAUGUCUACAAAAAUGGGUUUUAUCUAUACUGACCUGCUGAAGAUCAUGCUGCAGGUCAGUUACUCUCACAAAUUAAUAUAAUUAAUAAAUAUAAUAAUUAUCACGAAA